GGCAUCCGGGCCCGCACCCUACUUCCCAGCAGGGUGUCACGCUCCCCUGAAGACUGGCCGCUUCUCGACCCUGCUAGAUGAAGAAAAUCCAAGGAAAGCCUGAAGCACUAGCGGUGCUAGCCAGAAGUGUUUGCCCUCGGGGCCCGACCCAACCUCUUGGUCUGAAAGGCCCGCCGGCCCUGUUAUUGUUUGGCUCCACAUUUACAUUUCUGCCGCUUGCAGGAGCAUUUCCGGUUUCUUUUUUUUUUUUUUCGGAGCAGAUCACUGCUUACCCGGCGACGGGGGAGUAGCAAAGGGGAAGAAAAUAUAUUCUAGGCCGGUUCUGUUGUUUGAGGAGGAAAACUGCUAUCCUCGACAUCUUAUUUUUCUGGAUUACUUGGUUAUUGCUUUUGCGAAGGAGGAGGUGUUUAUUUAAAAGAGUGCACCGAUAGGUCGUUUCUUCGUGCCGGAAAAGCAAAUUACCGAGUAUCCGGUUUUGGGGUGAGCCAUUCCCUUAACGCAUUCCGCACGUCCUGAAAGCGGAAGGGGCGGGCCAUAGCCCGGGGAGCCCGGAGGUCCUAAGUGCAGUCCGCCCGCACCCGCCGGUUCUUCCCAGUGGGAGGUGACAGAACCCUGUCUGGGCUUGGGUAUUACUGUUCCCGCAACUUCAGCUUUUAGAAGAGGUCAUUUUAUUACAGUUUAUUAUCGCGCAACAAACUUCGUGCGUGCCUUUUUGUUGCUUCUUUUUAUUUUGUAAAAAAUACUAUUUACACACAGCACUUGGAACGAGAAAUAAAUUGCUUUUUGUACCUCU
rnacentral:lncRNA from 1 species